rnacentral:tRNA from 1 species
GGACAUUUAGCUCAGCUGGUCAGAGCAUCCGGCUCAUAACCGGACGGUCCUGGGUUCGAAACCCAGAAUGUCCA